rnacentral:lncRNA from 1 species
AAUAAGAGGUGGGAGGCAGCCUCACAAGUUAGCAAUGCAGGGAAUGUUACAAGGAGUUAGCUUCAGUAUGAAAAAAACAUUUGUUUAGAGGCAUGGGAUAGAAUCACUGAAAUGCUGAGACAACUGUUCCUUCUCCUCCCUUGAGCUAAGACCCUGAAAGCUGAACCAGUACCAUCUCCUUGGAGCACCUUCUGAGGGUCCCUCUAGCCUACAAAGUGUAGUCAAGUGGAAUUUGUGCGCUUUCCUGAUUCAGGCCCAAUCCAGUCUUCCUAUGCCAGCCACAGAGCAGUCCCAUACUCCCUUCUGCUCAAUCCUACCCUGCCUCUUCUGCCUAGCAGCUGUGUCUCAUAAGAUGUUAAUACUGCAGAUGUCCUGAGAAGUAUGUGUCUUCCAUGGUCAAAAGCGUACAGGUAGCAGACCAGCAAGUUAACUACAUAAUCACAUCUCUCAGUAGAACGUGACUACCAUUCCUGCAAGAACCUUAAACAAACACUUAUCACCAUCAAGAUGCCUAUUCUGGCAGAAGCCCAUUCCUCCAUCUGCAUGGAUGAUCAGAACAGAAAACAAUCCGGGAAUAUGUUGCUGUUUAGAAUUGGAGCAUCAAAAGCCAAUGCAGAAGAUACAGAAGGAGCAGCCAGGAAGAAAAUCAGGACAGUGGUGUUUCACAGAAACCUAGAGAGAAGAGAAUUUCACAGAAAAAUUAGCAGAGCAUGCCAACUACUGAUACUGAUUAGGGAAAUUUAGAAAUGUCAAAAAUCUUCUAACUCAGCCAUGAAGAGAUCACUGCUGAUUUUCUGUCAGGGAAAAACCCCAA